ensembl:miRNA MIR4496 microRNA 4496
ACAUCAGCUCAUAUAAUCCUCGAAGCUGCCUUUAGAAAUGAGGAAACUGAAGCUGAGAGGG